GACUUCUCCGUUUAUGGAUCCUCUUUUGAUGAUUGUUUGAGCAACCUUGAUCGAGUUUUGCAGAGAUGCGAAGACACUAGUCUCAUCCUGAAUUGGGAAAAGUGUCACUUUAUGGUUAAUGAACGCAUUGUCUUGGGGCAUAAGAUUUCCGAGAGGGGUAUUGAAGUUGACAAAGCCAAAGUUGAUGCUAUUGAAAAUAUGCCAUGUCCCAAGGACAUAAAAGGUAUAAGAAGUUUCCUUGGUCAUGCCGUUUUUUAUAGGAGGUUCAUUAAGGACUUCUCUAAAAUCUCUAGGCCUCUGACUAAUUAUUGCAAAAAGAUAUUCCUUUUGUGUUUGAUG
rnacentral:rRNA from 1 species